ACCUAUUCUAAAAUGUUAAAUAUUAUCAUCAUUAACAACAAUAAAACUAUACAUUUCGCUGCUUUAUCACACUGAAACAACUCCCAUUGGUAGUUUUAUUUUAUUACUUCUAUCGUGAUUGGUUAAUCUGGCUGUCAUUCAGGAAACUGGACAAUGAAUCGGUUCGCGCUUUUCUACAUUUAAAAAUAUGACCGUUAUUGUCGUCUUUCUGUGAGUGAGGCGGCUAACUGUGAGCUGCUGCUCGUUAUAACUGACUGCUCGGUCGGUCCCGAAUUAUUUCAUAUUUGCCUGUACAUUUUUUAUUUAUUUCGAGCGAAUUUGAGUCGUGACAUGUCAAUGGAGAACAAAAACUGUGAACACAAGAAGGGUCAGGUGUUCUGCGAGGUCCUGAAAACAUCCUGUCAAAAUGAGAUGAUCAAGUUAGAUGCUCACCUAAUGUGUUGCUGAGUCAUCGAGGAUCCAGCUUGUUCUUUAAACAUUGAAGUUUGCACUCUGCAAGUGAACGACGCCUUGUGGUGCCAUCCCAAAGAGGACGGUACAGAAAGUGCACAAGUGGGAGAGAGUGGAGGGGACGGCGUCAGAAAGGACCUAGCGCUGGGACUCUUUCAAGGAUCACCCGAAGCACAACCACACUGUAUACACUAAGGUGCUGGUUCUAACAUUUUAGAGUGCCCUUCGGUAGAAAUCUCAUUCUGCAUUCCCCACGGUAAAGAAGACACAGUCCGGGGGGGUUCCCAUUAGAAAUCAACUGGUGGAAGGUUCCCUUCUCGAACCGUUCAACACAUUUUCACUGCACAAAUGUACACAACUCUUGUAAUGAGACACAUUACUAAAACAUGUUUUUGACAGAAACUGUAGGUUUCCACCAAAAUAAAAGAUCCACUGGUUUCAGUCAUAAAGGUACAAGGGUUUGUCUUGUAAGUGCUGCAAAAAAUAUGCAUUUAUGUGCCAAAUUAUUUCACAAAAACCUUUAAAUAUUAUUGUAUUUGGAUUGUUCUACUACCUGUUUUUAGCAUUAC